rnacentral:rRNA from 1 species
CCUACGGGAGGCAGCAGUGAGGAAUAUUGGUCAAUGGGCGCUAGCCUGAACCAGCCAAGUAGCGUGAAGGAUGACUGCCCUAUGGGUUGUAAACUUCUUUUAUAUGGGAAUAAAGUGCAGUAUGUUUACUGCUUUGCAUGUACCUUAUGAAUAACGACCGGCUAACUCCUUCCAAGCAGCCGCGGUAAUACGGAGGUUCCGAGCGUUAUCCGGAUUUAUGGGGUGUAAAGGGAGCGUAGGCGGGCUGUUAAGUCUGUUGUGAAAGUCUGCGGCUCAACCGUGAGAUUGCAGUUGAUACUGGCAUCCUUGAGUGCAGUAGAGGUAGGCGGAAUUCGUGGUGUAGCGGUGAAAUGCGUAGAUAUCACGAGGAACUCCAGUUGCGAAGGCAGCCUGCUGGACUGUAACUGACGCUGAUGCUCGAAAGUGUGGGUAUCAAACAGGAUUAGAUACCCUAGUAGUC